AGACAAUGUAUUUCAAAGGCAUUGAAGCAGGGAAGGUUCCCUAUUUUCCUCAUGCAGAUACUAUCAUCUAUUCCAUCUCUACAGCAAUUUGCUUCCAGGCAGCUGUCAUGGAAGUUCAGACUUUGAGACCAUCUUACUGGAAGUUCCUUUUAAGACUCACCAAGGGCAAAUUUGCUGUCAUGAACCGAAAAGUCCUUGAUGUUUUUGGUACUGGUGCAUCUAAACACUUUCAGGAUUUCAUCCCCAGGUUGGAUCCAAGAUACACAACUGUAACACCAGAGUUGCCCACAGAGUUUUCCUGAAGAUGACUGUAAUUUAUUAAUGUGACUAAAUGUUUCAUCUUGAAGAGUUAAUUAUGUUGAACACAAAGGAGGGGGCCCAAGCUCGAACUUCAGUGUUAUUUCAGUUAGAGAUACUCUUUUCAUUUGUUUUGUUUUUCUUAUGAAUCAGAAAUUCAGAAGCUUUUUAGGAAGGUGUUGCUUAAUAAUUAAGCUUCCUCCAUAGCCAGAAUAAGAUUCUGGAUCACUGUAGUGAUUGACAUUGUUAUAUAUUAUUGAUCAAAUUAUGUCCACAAGCAAUAUUAUAUAAUCUAUGUAGAAGUGUAAUAACAAACAAGAGUACACUUAAAAUUACUUUAAAAGAUGUCUUUAGUUCAUUCCAAUAUAAUUCUUGAUUAAAAUUAGGAUUAUUUGUACAUUUAGGAUUUACAAAGGAUCACGGGUACAUGGAUUUGGUCUAUAUUUUUUUUUAAAGUUUUGAAUUGGUAUCUGUAGUAGUGGAAUGUUAUAGAUUUGAAGUAACUCUCCACGGACAGUGCUGCUUUCAUGUAGAGCAAUUUAAUUGGAGAAGUGGCCAUUCUUACUUCAGGGAUGCAAAGAUGGGUCUCAUACCAUUUGGAUAAAUGUCGUGGUAUCCAUGCUUUUUUCAACUAAUAACAUCAUCUCUCUUCAUGACCAGUUAGUUGGGCUAUUUGGCAGCCCAGUGAACCUAUGUACUAAUGGCAAGUUAGGGGCAAAUGGAAAUGUACACAUCCGAUAGAGUUGAAAUGUAUGUUUUAAUCUUUCACAGAAGUAUUACACUUGAAUAUUUAAAAACAAAACUUUUAAACUUCCUAUAGGUUUGUGAUGUUUGGUUUCAUUUAUAUGGACAUAAUCCUUCAUAGCUCAGUUUAUAUGCCAUUGUUGUAUUAGAAGGGAUCAAAAUCCUAUGGAACAAAGUAGUCUUGGCAAGUUAGCAGUUUGUGUCCUCUCAGCUGUUUAACUUAUGUAAUGGAUGUUUCGCACCUGAAAACACUAUAAAAAUUCAGUGGUUGUUUAAAAA
rnacentral:sRNA from 1 species